UGGAAGAAGACACAGCUACCUGGGAGGAAUGAUACGUUUUAUUUUGGAGCCUUGUCUAACAUUCUGAAGUCUAGAGGUGGUACUUUACUACUGCUGGUGUGGAUGGCCCGAGGCUCAAGUUCAAACUCGAUCUUGAAGCUACUAUUCUGGAUGCUGAUGGUGAUAGGAAGAGGGUAUACUGGGAGAAGCAGAGGGGACACAAGAUUGUUUGGCAGAAAAAAAACCUGCUCUCUCAAUCCCCAGACGGGAGCAGACGAUUUAGUACUCAUUUCUUCUCCUUUCUAGGUGUUCCUCCGUCACCAACCUGAGUGCUCGCUGUAUCCUGAACAGCCAAAACCUCCAAAGUAAUUUACACUGGUGUGUGUGUGCGUGCGUAAAUCUAUAAAAUGAAUUAUUAAAUUGAGAAGCCUGAGAUCUAAGGGCAGUGGCUAUUACUUAAAACUGUAUAAGGGGGGAUUCAGGGUACGAGGGGGAGGCAAUCUGGGACUAUGAUUUGAUGAGUUUCUCCAAGCCAAGUCAGGACCCUUUGUUCUAACCUCCUAGUGCAAGAGAACAAAUACAGGACUUAAGUACCAGAGGGACUUCUAUGAAAUACUUGGCCCCAGAGAACAAAUCAGAGUGGGUGGCUGAGAGGGGGGAAAAUAGAGUUAAACAUUUCCUCUGAGCAAAGAAGAAUGGACCCAGGCCCAGGGUUAUAAUUCAUGGGGCCUCAGAUGAAUCUCCAGCUGCUUCAGCUGUCUCCACAUCUGUGAGAAGACUGGCCAAGGAAUCCAGCACUGGUGGAAGCCAGUGGAUGAUGCAGCUCAGUGGUUUAACACUCCCCGAGUCUUCCAAGAGGCUUCCUUGAACCCGCGCCUUUUCUACAUGUUGUAUGCUUUGCCCAGCUCUGUGGCACAGUUUCUGUGAAGAGCACUUAAGCACGUCUGGGACUUUAAGAGAUCUUUGCCAAAGAAUGAUGAAGACCUAAAGCACACAAAAUGUUUUUCCCUCCCAUUUGGGGAGAUGCUCUAGGAUACUUGAUUUUCUAGGCAGGUAGGUCCUCACAUUGAAUAAUCACCAUCUGAAAGAAGUGAAGUCGAAGUCUCCAAACCAAAUCCUUGCGGCUGCCUCCUUCUGGCCUCAGUGCAUUAUCCUUUUGGGCUGAUUUUCUACAUGGAACCUACUGCACCCACCUGGCUCAGCCAAGCAGUCAACCUCUAUUCUGGGAACUGUCACAGAGGCUGAUAUCAACGUAAAGGAAGCCCUAGUUUUGCAUAUCCCUAGAUACUCGAAUCCUGCUUACGAACCCCUGGCAGAAAUGACUGGACGUGACUGCAGCCUCCAAGAGGGCAGAGACAAGCAUGAAAUAAGAUAAUGCACAUAAAAGUCUUGGUGUGGUGCUCAGCACAGAGUAAGUACUCAGUGCAUGCCCAUGUGCCCAUGCCUUUGAGAAAGUCCACAUGGCUGGUUUCUGUGCCCAGUGAGGAGAACAGCCGGGCCCCGACUGAGAAGGGGAAGAGAACACACAGGUGGAGAAGGCCUUCCUCUCCCCGAGCCCGCCACCUUGAUGGACAUGCUACAGUCCUUACCAAACCCCAUCCACCGGAGUGAAAGUAAAAUGUCUUUGGAAACCUCAUAACCCAUCAUCAGAACUGCUGGGUGUAGGAAAACAAUUGCUUGCCCUAAAUAAGCAACUAUGAUUGUCCUUGGUUUGUCUGAGUUUUCCUUUAAUUAUAGGCUCUCUUGAAACAUUCAAACACUUUGUAAAUUUGGAUCCCCCUCUCUCACAUACAAUCCUCCCGUACGCACACGCUCCCUUGCAUUUACAGAGCAUACACACCCAUCUCUUACUCAUUCACAUAAUGAAUUUCAGUGCCGUACAUCUCGAAUCGAAGAGGGGCCCAGGAGGUUUAUGGGUAUCUGGGCAGCCUUCCUGCUCCAAGGCCCCCACAGUGCUGUUGGAAGAGUGGGUCCCUUAUGGGGAGAAGAUAAUGAGCAAAAAGUGCUCUUGAUCCCUAGACCAGGCCGAGCAUCUCUUUCCUACAAUUAUGGAGUUCAGUUGAGCAGCCACGUCCCUAAAAAAAAAUCCCCAAAUUCCUCCACCCCACCUCGCUUUGUGCGUCAAAUCGUUGCAUACCCCCUGACCUGUCCUCUCUUCUUGCAAACUCAACUUGGAGCCUUUUGGUUCUGGAAAGACUUUCUAGGUAUUAGGAGAGUCUAGGAAAACCUCCCUUCCUCUUCUUGCAUUUCUUCCUUGUCAGAGAGACAAGUGGAUUUUAUGGAGAGAUACAGAGCAUCUUGGGGACCAGUGCCUGAAACAGGGCUCUUCAGAACUAGCUGGGGACUCAUGGCUUGAUGCUCUUGUCCCCACUGACCCGGACUCAGCCUUCCGCCGCAGUGCCCUCCAUGACACCUGGUCGAGGUGGGAAUGAGAGAAAACUCUUGGAAGAAGUAGGAGCAGAUUUUCCUGUUGCCCACCAGUCCCUGAGCCCCUCCCUGGCCAGAGGACAACCUCUUUCUCCACAUCCCCUCCAGGCGUUGGUGCUGGGCCAAUGGUUCUCUUUCCUUCCCAGCUCAUGUGGUGGUGCAAGUCCUCCCACUGGGACCUGUCUCAAGCUCCUGUUGUGAGGUCCCCGAGUGGGGAGGGACUGACUGCCCAAGUCCCUGAAAAUUUAACGCCCUGCACCAGCCACUCAGGGCGCCCCUGCGCCGGGGCCGACAGCGGGGCCUCCACAGGCCUGGGUUCAAGGAGGUUUCUCCGUUGUUCCUGGAAGUUUGUCCUUCCAACCACGGGGCAUGUACAGGGGCGGUUCUGGG